CCUACGGGGGGCAGCAGUGAGGAAUAUUGGUCAAUGGACGAGAGUCUGAACCAGCCAAGUAGCGUGAAGGAUGACUGCCCUAUGGGUUGUAAACUUCUUUUAUAAAGGAAUAAAACGAGGCACGUGUGCCUUUUUGCAUGUACUUUAUGAAUAAGGAUCGGCUAACUCCGUGCCAGCAGCCGCGGUAAUACGGAGGAUCCGAGCGUUAUCCGGAUUUAUUGGGUUUAAAGGGAGCGUAGAUGGGUUGUUAAGUCAGUUGUGAAAGUUUGCGGCUCAACCGUAAAAUUGCAAUUGAUACUGGCAGUCGUGAGUACAGUUGAGGUAAGCGGAAUUCGUGGUGUAGUGGUGAAAUGCUUAGAUAUCACGAAGAACCCCGAUUGCGAAGGCAGCUUACUAAACUGUGACUGACAUUGAUGCUCGAAAGUGUGGGUAUCAAACAGGAUUAGAUACCCCAGUAGUC
rnacentral:rRNA from 1 species